rnacentral:siRNA from 1 species
CCCCUGCUCCUCCUUCUCCUUCUC